AUUUAUAUAGUUUAAAAGAAAACAUUACACUUUCAUUGUAAAAACAAUAAUUUUAUUUAUAAAUA
rnacentral:tRNA from 1 species